rnacentral:rRNA from 1 species
UACGUAGGGUGCGAGCGUUAAUCGGAAUUACUGGGCGUAAAGGGCGCGUAGGCGGCCACCGCAAGUCGAUUGUGAAAUCUCCGGGCUUAACCCGGAAAGGUCAACCGAUACUGCGGGGCUAGAGUGCAGAAGGGGCAACUGGAAUUCUCGGUGUAGCGGUGAAAUGCGUAGAUAUCGAGAGGAACACCUGCGGCGAAGGCGGGUUGCUGGGCUGACACUGACGCUGAAGUGCGAAAGCUAGGGGAGCGAACGGG